AGAGCGACGGGCGAUGUGUACAUAUUUUAGAGCUAAAAUCAAAUUAUUUAUCUUUAUAAUUUUACUAUCAAAUCCAAUUUCAUUAAAUUUUUCAUAUUUAAAUCCAUAAAUAAAUUUUAUUGUAACUAAUUUAUACUUAAAAAUAAACUACACCUUGAUUUGAUAUUAAUUUUAAUUAAAAUUAUAGAAAAUUAUUAUUCUUAUAAAAUAUUCUAAUAACAACGAUAUAUAAAUUGAUUAACAAUUUUAAGUAAGGUACAUCGUGGAUUAUCGAUUACAAAACAAGUUCCUCUGAAUAGACUAAAAUACCGCCAAAUUUUUUAAGUUUCAAGAAUAUAACUAAUACUACUCAAAUAAAUUUAUUUACUUUUAAAAUAAUAGGGUAUCUAAUCCUAGUUUA
rnacentral:rRNA from 1 species